UACGUAGGGCGCAAGCGUUGUCCGGAAUUAUUGGGCGUAAAGAGCUCGUAGGCGGCCUGUUACGUCUGCUGUGAAAUCCCGGGGCUUAACCCCGGGCGUGCAGUGGAUACGGGCAGGCUGGAGGCAGGCAGGGGAGAACGGAAUUCCCGGUGUAGCGGUGAAAUGCGCAGAUAUCGGGAGGAACACCGGUGGCGAAGGCGGGUCUCUGGGCCUGUACUGACGCUGAGGAGCGAAAGCGUGGGGAGCGAACAGG
rnacentral:rRNA from 1 species